CGCCCUUCAAUUCCUCUUCUCUCUCAACUCUCUAUGAAGCUCUCAUGAAAUCUAGCUACCACCAUGCAAUCCCACCCUAAUCCAUGGCCUCCCAUGGCCAUCAGAGAGGUGUAGUGGCCUCCUAUGACUCCUGGUUGUUCACUUCUGUGGUUUCACGACCAGAUCUCAAAGGAAGUUGGUCCAGUCUUUGCCUGACUUCCGUUCAUGGCCUUUUUCCGGUCAUCCAUGACUUUUCUUCGGCCAGCCGUGGCCAUUCGAGUCAGAUCCUGGACUCUCCUGCUUAGAUCGUUAAUUUUCAAAGCCUUUCUCACCUUUCUGGGUUCUUCGAAACCCUAAUCUUUGGGAUUUUUUUAUUUUUCUUUCAGAUCUGCUUUAGAUCUGUACUUGCCAUGAAUGUUUUAAGUGUUUCUCAAAAGUUCUUCAACUUUUCUCGUAAAAAUGAUCCUUCAUUAGGGUUUUCCUUUAGUUUUUCAAAAGAUCUCUGAUUUUAACACGUUUAUUAUUUGGCUAUGAUUAGCUCAUUUCGUUCUUCUAUUUGUUUCAGAAUGUUAAAAAAACCUAGUUCCUUUUAGUUUUAUCCGAGUUCUGAAAUUGUUUGCUUAAAUGUGCACUUGUUCUUUGUUGCUAACUCUCUCUUCCUCAUUUAACUUGUUUAAUUUUUGAGUUCUUACCAUCUUUCAAAACUCGGCUACCAUUAAAGCCCAAUUUUAGAGGUUUUCUCACUUAUUGCUACUCUAAGACCUUUACUUACUUCUAAUUUCUCUUAUCUGAUACUAUGUUCUUCUUUACUAUUGAUCUUAUGUGACCACUCGACCUACUUGACUAUUGUGCUUCGAAUAUUUUCUUGUUGGCUUACCCCUACUGCUACUGUAUGUUUGUGUUGUUUUUUUAUCAACACGUUUAACUCUCCAUGCUUGUCCAUCCCCUUCUAAUUAUAUGGUGAAGUGCAGAAUCAUUUUUCUUUCUUGAUUGAUCUUGAUUCCCUUUAUCUUGUGACGUAUUGCAAAAAGCUUUUCUUUUACGAGCCCUAAUUUUACUCGCCUAUUUAAAAUUAAUUGAUUCCUUUCCCUUUACUGUGAUGUUUUACAUUGCUGAAUCCUUUCCCAAAAUAAACCUAUUUCGUACUUAGACUCGAUUGUUUGCUUCAUGCUUUUACUACCCUUUUUAUGGCAAUAAUCAAUCUUCCCCCCUCCCAAACUGAUUUUCUUUCCUUAAUUAAACCUACUGCUAUCUGUUAAAUAGUGUUUCCUUAAUUAAAGUUGAAUCACUUGGGUUAAUUGAUUCUACCUUGUGAUUGUUUCCAUAUUUGUGUUUAAAUUUUACUUAUUACGUUACUCUCUACACAUUUUCAAAGCUAUAAAUACCUACACUCUUCUCUUUCAAAUAGACAAGUUCUAACGAACACACACAUAUACUCACUACUUCUUCUCUCAAGCACUCUUAAGUUCUCUCAAAAAGCAUUCGAGUAUUCCUUGAAAUUACAAGUUAUCUUUCCUUGUGUUGUGGCUGCAAGUGUUCUGCUUCUCUUCCGAUUUGCUUUUGCAACUGGUAUGCCUCUUUUAGUUUAACACUACCUCUUUCCUAUGCGUUUAUGAUUCAGUUCUCUUCGUGUUUGCUUCUACUACUUUCUGCAAUUUGUCAUUCCUGCUCUUAUAUGAACUCCCCAUCCCUAAACUCACUUGUAUGUUGAGUUAUGGUUGAGAAAACAUGACAACAUUUAACAUUAUUUUUUCAUGUACAUGUACUAGAUUCUCUAAAUCCUAAACUCAAUCAAUUCCCAUUCCUCN
rnacentral:lncRNA from 1 species